rnacentral:lncRNA from 1 species
CAUGGGUAAAGGGCAGCCUUAAAUCCGAAAUCAUGCUACUUACGAGACAUUCCAUGCAUAGUUUUUUGAAACCAUGCAAACCUUCAUGUAUUUUGACAUGAAACUAUGCAUAGUUUCAGAAGAUGGGUUGUCUGUCCCUUAUUGUAGUCUCAAAGUGUCAAAGCGGGUAUUCUAAUCAAUAGAGAAUCACUGUCUUGAUGUUCUUUUUCUGUAGGUUACCCUAACGGACAAAGGGCUAAGGACAGAAAGGAGUUAGGAGGAGAUUC